GGAAGUGUGUCCGAGCGGCCUAAGGAGCACGCUUGGAAAGCGUGUAGCGUGCAAGCGCUCGCAGGUUCGAAUCCUGUCACUUCCG
rnacentral:tRNA from 1 species